UAACAGGUUAUUGGUUCAUUUCAGUUGGCAUAGUAAUGUGUUCCAAAGGUUCAGUGGUGCCAGUUUCCUUAUCUAGGACCUCCCUCAGCUAAGAGUGUCAGGGAGGUGUAGCCCUAGAGCAGUUACCCUCAGGGCACUACAGUCAUAAUAAAAAGGCCAGCUCAUUGAGCACUUAUUGAUACAGAUUUAGGGUGAUUUACACUGAUACUCCUCAUCAGAUACGCUCAGCAUUGUUCCCUCCUAAAAUUCCGCAAUGGCCGAGGUUACAAAGAUUGCUCACCUAUCAGGAGAAUGGAAGAAUGAGCUGGGGUCUAUAAUGACUCUAAAGUUUGAGCCAACCAAUUCGGCGCUCAGUGGGACGUACAAAUCACUUGUGGGAGAACAUCCGCAUGACACUAAAGAACUCAAUGAACCAUUGGUGGGCUUCUACAACAUAAAGGAACCACAAAUCCAACCAUCGCCUUCUGCAUU